rnacentral:lncRNA from 1 species
UUUUUAUUAAUACAAGUCAGGUAACCUUUUUUCUUUCAUAACCAUAGCUUUCUUUUCAUAGCAGUCAUUUUAAUCUACGCAUUUACAAUUUGUAUUUUACAAAUUCUAAUUUCUUAGUAUGUGAAAUUUAUGGCUUCAUUUUAUCUAAAUGCUUUAGUUAUUACGUUUUAGAAAUAAUUUAUGCAAAAUCUAGAAUUUUCUUUUGGAGCAAUUCUAUAAAUGGUUCACAUAUCUUAAAUGAGCCAUGAAACCAAAGGUAAGUGCAGUAUGCAAUUAAGUUAUUCGAUGUAUUGCCACAAUUAAUGGAGGAUGAUGGGUUUGUAGUAAGACAUUCCCAUAUGAAGUAUGAGCUACGAGAUACACUAUGACUAAGUAAGGUCUUACUUUUUGGUUGGUUAGGCUUGACGUGG